ACGCAGAGGAGGCGGAGACUAUCUCAAUGACGUGUUUCCAUAUCAAGCAUGGAACUAUAUGGUGUUCAAAUACAUCAGAAAAAGUGACUGAACAUUGGGUCUCAUUUCUGGAUGAUAGCAUUGAUAAUGCACUGGCUUCUAAGAUAUUGUUUGAUUUCUUGCAAAACAAAAAGCGAAUCCUAGCGAGAAGUUUUCGUUGAUCUGCAGAAGAGAAUGCGCAAACGAUGAGCCUUUAAAACCGUGUACGUGUCAAGACUGCUAUCAACAUUUUGAGAAUCAACUAUUCACCUCUCAAAAAGAAGAAACCGAAGACUUUGAUACGCUUCUGAAAGCGAGUCUUUCAGCAAGCCUUGAUCUCAUCUUUGUAGACUCAGAAAACAAGACAAACUUGUCAGCACACCAACUCAUAGUUAGGAGUAACUCUCCAACUCCAUUAGACUGCCGAAUUGUGCGUGGAAAAACCCCGGCGGAAAUAGACAACGUUCUUAUGAAUAUUGUACCGGCAAGGGCAUUACAGAAGUAGGAGCCCCUCGCCUGGGCGCAGUCCACGCAGAAGCCCCAGUCCACGCACAAGCCCCAGAGCACAGAUGCGCCAGAUUACAAAUGAAAUUAAAAGAGGAAACAUGCAGUAUAUCAAGCAGACAAAAGUGCAGCAUAUUGGUCCUGGCCAACGCAACUCUGCAGUCAUAAGCACUACAAGAGGCGUCACAAAAGGCCAGCCUAGUGGCCAGCGGCAAACACAGGUUGCACAACGGACAGGACCGCACCACAGCAAAAGCCCCCACCGCCAAAAUCAGCAAAGUGCAGGAGGACACAAAAUCCGAUGGGAUUUAGAUAGUCCUGAGUCACCUCCAAACAGGGACCGGCCACUGACAGCCAAGGAGCAUCUACGACCGGAGAACAACAUUGUGAUAGAUUGGGAUGAGAGUCAACUCGAAGGGGACAUCACGCCAUGGAACAGAGCAUCUAAACCUGUCAACGCGGAUGAGUUGCGGAGACGUUUGGAAAUAGUAAAGAAGAAAAAUUUGCAAAAUUGGGCUGUCAAAAAGAAUUCAUGACAGGCAAGUAUUGAGUUUAUUUGUCUAGAGAAGAACAAAAAAAGAGAGAUCCUAGAUCUUUACUUCACAGUUUUAACAUAUGCCAGGAUAAGGAUGAGGCAUUUUAGGUCCUAAAAUGUUAAAAUAUAGCUGUGUGCAAAUGAAUGACAGAGCCAAUUUAAUAGGUCCACCAAAUUUUUCAUUAAAACAAUAAUUUCAUUUAGAUUUUUAUUUAAAGACGAAUGAAAUGACUUAAUCAUUGGUAUUCUUAUACAAUUAAGAGACGCUACACAAGUUAACAGAAAACUAAACGUUUCAUUGAAAUCAAGAUGGAGAAUAAGAGACAGCCUUUUGGGUAGAUUUAUAAAGCUUCUUUCAAUAUUGACUAAAACUACCAUGCCACAGUGCGUCUGGUUUUACUUGGGAGCUAAAAAAGAAGAAAAAACUCUGCAGGCAGAUUUAUAAUGAAGAGUUCCCAAAUAAAUAAAGAAUCAUUGAUUUUAGUCCUUAUAAGGUGAGCAGAUGGCUUCCUUUUGCAGCUGGUAAACUGUAAAGUUUUAAACUUUUUGUCUAGCAUUAAGAUGAAAGAGGCAAAUCAGAGAAUAGGGAUCUUUUGAGCAUGAUUUCUUGUCCAUAAAAAGUAGAAAAUAAAUGAAUGUGGCAUUCAGCACUUAUGAAAUGAAAAAUUGGAACAAAGUAGUUUUAUUUUACUUCCUGUUGCUGUUAGUUUCUAGAAUAAAGCAGUCUUAAUUUGUUAUUUUCCUCUUGAAAUGUUACCCAAUAAAAUAUUUAUUAUUCUGAGUGUAAAAUCUCUACAUUGCUGUAAUGAAGAAAUUAUAUGAUUUUUGAUUUUAUGUAGUGCUUUAACAUCUCUUAAGCAAACAAAGAGCCACUGCAUUCGGUUUGAAAUUAAAAACCAAAAUAUAUUUACCUCACCAAAAUUUAACGUAGGAUACAAAAGAUGCAUUAAAAUUUUCCAUAUUCUAGUGAUAAGUUAAAAAAAAAAAAACAUGUUUUCGUUUACACUAAUCCACACUUCCCGCUGAGAAAAAAAAAACAGACUUUACUUGAGUCAAAUCGAAUAUAAAACCAAUUUCGGUAUUUUCUGUGAUGACAGAAUGCUACUAUCUGCAAACUUUUUUUUUUGGACAAAAUUAAAGAUACUUUGAAUCAGAGUUCUGGUUAAGUUCUAGUUAUGUGCUUAAUGUAUAGGUUGAUUCCAAUGUCUGAUUAGACCUACAUUGAUUAUGGUUUAUAUUGCGAGUGAGAAAUCUGAAUCUACUGUUUUACAUUUUUUUCUCUCUUGUAACUUAAUGUUGAAAAUUUUUCACGUGUUCAUCGUGUUUCACAUGCAAUUUUGAUGAGAAAACAUGUUCUGCAGGGCACAUGUCUUAUCUUGUCUGGUGGUCCAUUCAUGAACUUCAAAGCUGAAGUCCAUCAGAGAAUUUGCAAAUAAAUGCAUCAAACAAAGUACAACAAGUGGUACAAGAACUUUGCAAAAUUUUACUUCUGCAGGGUAACUUAAAUAAUACAAAAAGCUUACAAAAUAUGAUCUGACAGAACAGAAUACAACAAUCUUACCUUCAUUUUCAGCCUGAUACAUUCAGUAUCAGCUUCUUCAGGGUAGGAAAAAAAGGAGUAAAAACUUAAUUGAUAUUAUCACAAUCGGCUUGAAUAUUCAUAGUGGAGCCAGCAUACCUGAAAGAAUUGGCAGUGAGGUGAAAAAGACUGAUUAUAAUUUUCUGCACUAUUUGAAACUUCUUCAUCAAACAGCACCCUGAAACAAUACAAACAACUGGGUGAAAAUCUUUUAACAACAGCAGAAGUUCAAUUCAAUAACUGAGAGCUUAACGAACAAAUAAAACUAAAAGUUAAAAUAUUUACAAAAAUUUCAUUAAAUUCAUAUUUUAGGAGCCCUAAAUUUUCCUAAUUGUUUUAAAAAGGGCUUGAACUCUUAGAAGGGGUAGCAAUGAAGGCUGUUUUUGGGCCCCUGAUGAGGGCCGUUUUUGGACCCUCCCUAAAAUGUGGCAAUUACUGCAUGAAUCACGAUUAGAGCUUAUGCAAUUUACAAUAAUAACCGUGAUUUGGACAAUAAAAUUUUCGUUACUUAAACAUAGGUCCAUAAGCGUGUUCCAGCCACAUCUGCAUGUUUUCACAAGAGGAGCAUUAGCUACCUGAAACGAUCUUUGGAUAUGUUACCAAGGAAGGUUUAAGAAAUGUUGUUUGGUUUAGUUAGAUCAUGCGCUCAUGGUUAAAAAAACUUGUUAAUAAACUAGAUAUUUCGGCACAUUUUAAAAAUUAGCAGCAAACAUGACUUUUGAACUGUGUGUACAAUAGGCAAUCAGAGGAAAAGACCUUAUUUUUAUCCCAUGUAAAGUUUUCUUAACGUUUCUGUUUUGUUCAGUGGCACAUUCUAGUAUGAUUAUCCAAAAAUGCAUCUUUAAGUUGAAAAUGUUUAGAGUUGGGCCGGGUAUCCGGCGAUUAUCCGGAUUGCCGGAUUAUCCGGCCGGAUACCGGAUAUCCGGCUCCGGCCGGAUACGAUUUUCGCGAGUAUCCGGAUCCGGCCGGAUAAUCGCGCUAUCCGGUUUUUGGACCCGCCGAAUAGUGCUUUUUUGGCCCUGAAAAUUUCGAUAAAUUUUUGGUGAUAUUCUUUCUUUUUUCUUCCCUAUCAAUACAAUUUUCUGUAUUUUUUCCUGAAACUUUUUACUUUUUUUUCUUCUCCUUCAAUACAGCUCUGUUUAUUUUUUUUCUUUCAACAUGAAUUACAUGCUGCUAAGUCUUGAACAAUUUUAAUUAUAUUCAGUCUGUUUUGCAAUUCAUGCCACCAUUUCUAAGUUUUAGUGCAUUGUUUAUUUUUAUUACAUAUUACAGUUUCCCUUUUAUUAUUUUUACUAUUUUAAAGUGGCAAAUUAAGCAAUCUAUCUGAAUUAAAAUGAAAAAAUUAAAAGUAGGCUCAUGUAUUUUAAUUUUUUUAAAUUUCAAGUUUACAUGAAUUUGUAAGAAUGGGUGAAGUCUAAGCAGCAGAUUUUUCAAAAGUAGAAAUUUGAUAACGCUAAACUGCAUAAAAUGACAGUUUAUUAUUAAAGAAUCGAAUGUAGAAAUAGUAAACUGAAAAAUAUUUUCAAAGAUACUAAAUAGCAAUUUCAUUUUUUUUUGUUUAAAUUGAAAAUUGAGAUUAGAAGUAGCCAAAUGGAAAAGCUGGAGUAUCCAAGCGCAUAACAAUUUUUCUGAAUGAUGAAUGAAACACAUUUAGUUAACAGGAAUAGUUUUUCAUUUUCUUAUUCACUUAUCUCUCACGCUGACUGAGACAUGUUAGGGGAGGAAGUUUUUAAAGGCAUGAAAUUUUAUAUCUUGUAGAUGAAUGUUCAUAAUUCAUGAUUUUUGUACUAUUGCAAUUGUGACACUAGAAAUGAGGCAAGAAAUUCAAGGCCCGAAUUUUGUUAGCUACGACCGAUCGUGAGUCGAGUAAACUUAACCUCAAAAACGCGACAUUUUUCGCGCGAAAAAGCACUAUCCGGAUCCGGUACUAUCCGGAUCCGGCCGGAUACUUUUUUGAAUUAUCCGGUAUCCGGAUCCGGCCGGAUACAAAAAACCGAUAUCCGGAUCCGGUUCCGGUGACGCGAAAAUUCCAUUUCGGCCCAACUCUAAAAAUGUUGUAUUUUCAUGACAAUCAUAACGAAAAAUGCAGUUGCACCGAGAUUUCAUAACGCCCUUUUAUAUUCAUCUAACAAAAUCUGAAAAAUGUUUUUCGAUUUUCCUUUAGUUAGCACUCUUAUGGUUCACAAAUGUUAGUGU
rnacentral:lncRNA from 1 species